UCCAAGUUUUGGAUUAAUCUGGGGAGAGU
rnacentral:piRNA from 1 species